rnacentral:rRNA from 1 species
UACGGGGGGGGCAAGCGUUGUUCGGAAUUACUGGGCGUAAAGGGCUCGUAGGCGGCCAACUAAGUCAGACGUGAAAUCCCCAGGCUUAACCUGGGAACUGCGUCUGAUACUGGAUGGCUUGAAUUCGGGAGAGGGAUGCAGAAUUCCAGGUGUAGCGGUGAAAUGCGUAGAUAUCUGGAGGAACACCGGUGGCGAAGGCGGGUCUCUGGGCAACUACUGACGCUGAGGAGCGAAAGCGUGGGGAGCGAACAGG